AUUGAACGCUGGCGGCAUGCCUUACACAUGCAAGUCGAACGGUAACGCGGGGCAACCUGGCGACGAGUGGCGAACGGGUGAGUAAUGUAUCGGAACGUGCCCAGUUGUGGGGGAUAACUGCUCGAAAGAGCAGCUAAUACCGCAUACGACCUGAGGGUGAAAGCGGGGGAUCGCAAGACCUCGCGCAAUUGGAGCGGCCGAUAUCAGAUUAGGUAGUUGGUGGGGUAAAGGCCCACCAAGCCAACGAUCUGUAGCUGGUCUGAGAGGACGACCAGCCACACUGGGACUGAGACGCGGACCAGACUCCUACGGGAGGCAGCAGUGGGGAAGUUUGGACAAGGGACGCAAGUCUGAUCCAGCCAUGCCGCGUGCGGGAAGAAGGCCGUCGGCUUGUAAACCGCUUUUGUCAGGGAAGAAAAGGGCGACUCUAAUACAGUUGCCUCAUGACGGUACCUGAAGAAUAAGCAACGGCUAACUACGUGCCAGCCGCCGCGGUAAGAC
rnacentral:rRNA from 1 species